rnacentral:rRNA from 1 species
UGGGGAAUAUUGCACAAUGGGCGCAAGCCUGAUGCAGCAACGCCGCGUGAGGGAUGACGGCCUUCGGGUUGUAAACCUCUUUUAGUAGGGAAGAAGCGAAAGUGACGGUACCUGCAGAAAAAAGCACCGGCUAACUACGUGCCAGCAGCCGCGGUAAUACGUAGGGUGCGAGCGUUGUCCGGAAUUAUUGGGCGUAAAGAGCUCGUAGGCGGUCUGUCGCGUCUGCUGUGAAAACCCGAGGCUCAACCUCGGGGCCUGCAGUGGGUACGGGCAGACUAGAUGCGGUAGGGGAGAAUGGAAUUCCUGGUGUAGCGGUGGAAUGCGCAGAUAUCAGGAGGAACACCGAUGGCGAAGGCAGUUCUCUGGGCCGUAACUGACGCUGAGGAGCGAAAGCGUGGGGAGCGAACAGGAUUAGAUACCCUGGUAGUCCACGCCGU